rnacentral:rRNA from 1 species
GACGAACGCUGGCGGCGUGCUUAACACAUGCAAGUCGAACGAAGAGCGAUGGAAGCUUGCUUCUAUCAAUCUUAGUGGCGAACGGGUGAGUAACGCGUAAUCAACCUGCCCUUCAGAGGGGGACAACAGUUGGAAACGACUGCUAAUACCGCAUACGAUCUAAUCUCGGCAUCGAGGAUAGAUGAAAGGUGGCCUCUACAUGUAAGCUAUCACUGAAGGAGGGGAUUGCGUCUGAUUAGCUAGUUGGAGGGGUAACGGCCCACCAAGGCGAUGAUCAGUAGCCGGUCUGAGAGGAUGAACGGCCACAUUGGGACUGAGACACGGCCCAGACUCCUACGGGAGGCAGCAGUGGGGAAUCUUCCGCAAUGGACGAAAGUCUGACGGAGCAACGCCGCGUGAGUGAUGACGGCCUUCGGGUUGUAAAGCUCUGUUAAUCGGGACGAAAGACCUUCUUGCGAAUAGUGAGAAGGAUUGACGGUACCG